rnacentral:rRNA from 1 species
GAUGAACGCUGGCGGCGUGCCUAAUACAUGCAAGUCGAGCGAACAGACGAGGAGCUUGCUCCUCUGACGUUAGCGGCGGACGGGUGAGUAACACGUGGAUAACCUACCUAUAAGACUGGGAUAACUUCGGGAAACCGGAGCUAAUACCGGAUAAUAUAUUGAACCGCAUGGUUCAAUAGUGAAAGACGGUUUUGCUGUCACUUAUAGAUGGAUCCGCGCCGCAUUAGCUAGUUGGUAAGGUAACGGGUUACCAAGGCAACGAUGCGUAGCCGACCUGAGAGGGUGAUCGGCCACACUGGAACUGAGACACGGUCCAGACUCCUACGGGAGGCAGCAGUAGGGAAUCUUCCGCAAUGGGCGAAAGCCUGACGGAGCAACGCCGCGUGAGUGAUGAAGGUCGUCGGAUCGUAAAACUCUGUUAUUAGGGAAGAACAAAUGUGUAAGUAACUAUGCACGUCUUGACGGUACCUAAUCAGAAAGCCACGGCUAACUACGUGC